UUCCCCCAGGCAGUGGGUAUCGGGUU
rnacentral:piRNA from 1 species